AUUUAUAUAGUUUAAUAAAUAAAACAUUACAUUUUCACUGUAAAAACAAAAUAUUUUUAUUUUUAUAAAUA
rnacentral:tRNA from 1 species